CAGGCGCGACCGGCGUCGCGAGUCUCCCAACUCCCGACCACACUGUUCUCUCGUUUUCGCUUCGCAUCGCAUCACAUCGGCGCUCAUUCGGCUCUCGCACGCGAUACCGUCGCGACGUCUCUGACGGGCUGGAUCCCGCCGAGCGCUUCUUUCUUACCUCCGAACCACGGAACCGCAAGUUUUUUCCGAUUUUCAAUAGUGUCCGGGUACAAAGUUAUAAAAAAAAAGUUUUGUUUUCCGUUUCUCUUCUGUUUUAUCGCGUCGAGGACCCGGAUCAUUGGGAGCUGAUUUCUCAUUGUGUUUCAGUGAUUUAAUAACAAAGUGCAACGUGCUCGUUCCACACUCACAAUAAGUAACUGACCAAAAACUGAGAAAAGUUCGUUGGGCAUUAAAUAAUUGAAAACAGAAAACCGAGCGACUAAAAAAUGUUCGUGUUCGAAAAAACGUUUGAAUUCUCCAGUCUGGAGAUCCAAGAUGUUUAGCGAUCGACACCGUAUCGAUUGUCUAUAGAGGAAAUCGGACGCGUCGAGAUCACCAAAAGACAGUUUUAUUUCGAAGUCGCUGACAAGGAUGUUGUCGAAAAAACGAUAAAUCUGGAUCUCGCGAAGCAUGACAAGAAGAACGAGAGUUUUGGCAUAGCCGAAAGUCGUGAAAAUCCUAUAAAUUCGCGACAAAGGGGAUAAAGAAGGAGAGAAAGAUGAACGAAACGAUGGAAGAUAAUUCAACGAUGCUGACGAGCCCCGACACGAUGUCGUAUCGGUGUGGGGCAGGUUUGAAUUCGUUUCAUCAAGAGUACGCGAAGAUGCACGGCUGGGCGAGUCUGUUAGUUUGCAUAUUCGGUUCGAUAGCGAAUAGUUUGAACAUAAUGGUGUUGUCGCGUCGAGAAAUGAGUUCACCGACGAAUGCUAUAUUGACGGGUUUGGCGGUGGCGGAUUUGUUGGUUAUGAUGGAAUACAUACCGUACGCGAGUCACAUGUACCUUUACCACAGGCCUCGAAGGGACACGUACACGUACGGCUGGGCGGUUUUCGUGUUUUUUCAUUCGAUAUUCACGCAGGUUUGUCACACGAUAUCGAUAUGGUUGACGGUGACAUUGGCGAUAUGGCGUUACAUCGCGGUCGCGCAUCCCCAGCGAAAUCGAGAGUGGUGCAGUUUCCGUCGAACGGUCUUUGCGAUCGCAGGAGCGUACGUUAUUUGUCCGCUGAUAUGCCUGCCGGGUUAUUUCACAACGGCGUUGACUUCGAAGGUAGAAAUUCUCGACUCUGAGGGGAGGAGCCCGAACAUGACGAUUUAUAACGCAACGAUCGGGAACGACACGGCGAGCGCGCUCGGUGCCAAUAAAUUCGUAAAUUCGACUCUCUGGUACGUCGAUCUCAGCGAGACCAUGAAAGUCAACAGUUUGCUUAACCUCGCCAAUUUCUGGAUGUACAGUGUCGUCAUCAAACUAAUACCUUGUUUAGCCCUCACGAUCCUCAGCCUCAGGCUCAUCCUCGCUCUCAUGGAAGCUAAAAAACGACGGAAAAUGCUCACGACCGCAACUCUCGUCAGAACCGAUGAGAAAAAUAUCGAUAACAAUCACAGUCUCGACGUCGUAACCAACGGGAAAAAAAGCGUUAAGAAAAAAUCCUCGAGGCUCCUCGACAAAGAGAGACAAACUGACAGAACCACCAGGAUGCUACUCGCCGUACUUUUACUCUUUCUUCUCACUGAAUUCCCACAGGGUGUACUUGGCCUUCUGAGCGUCAUACUCGGCUCUGGCUUCUUCCGCACCUGCUACGUCAAACUAGGAGAGCUGAUGGACAUACUGGCGUUGAUAAACUCUGCGAUAAAUUUCAUCCUCUACUGCGCGAUGAGUCGUCAGUUCAGGACAACCUUCAGUCAGCUUUUCUGCAGAUGGAAGCUCUUCGGUCGUUGGACACCGGUGCCUCGACAUCCGGACAACAACGGCAUAACCGGAACUAAUCACACCGUGACGCAGGUCACUCAGGUCUAGCCCAGGCGUGCCGGACGAACGCUUUGCUAUCCGUUGUAAAAAAUCCUCCGUACACAAGACACACACGCACACACGCGCGCGCCCAUUUGUAGACACAAAAAACGAGAAAGCUCGGAGAUUGUUCGUUGAUCGAGACGCGUUAAAAGCCCGGUAAAAAGCGAUUCGAUUUUUCAAAAUCUUUUCUAUGUCAAUUCGACGACGGAACGAUUCUCCGUCGAUUAUUCAAUGUUUUUUCCUCGCCCACUGACCUUUGAUUUUGAUCUUCAUCUGAAAAUGCAUAGAGACUCGUAUUGACAGACGCGAAGAAAAGCUCGCUGCAGCCGUGCGCACGGGGGGCUUGAUAAUGACGAGAGUUAACAUUUUUAUAACUUUUUUAUUUGACACUCUCGAGUAAACAUAUUUUUAUCGUUUCUCCAGGGAUAAAAGGGCUCCCCGCAGGGUGAGAACGAUAGUGAAACAAAUCGAACUCGUUUUAUUUCCAUUUCCCUUUCGAUAUUGACUCUCUGUCACCCAAUUCUUUCCUCCCGUUUCGUUUUCCUGCUUCGUGUGCUAUACUCGCACAGCAGCAGCAGCAGCAGCAGCCCCUUCCUCCAUACGCUUUUGUUAACUCUGACAUGGAUCACGUACAAUGGAACCGUAACCGUUCAACGCAGCUCAGCGUUACCACCCGCUAACGGUCUAUUAGCGAAAGAGGAGGAUAAAAAAAAAGAAAUAAAAAUAAUAACAAAAAAGAGCGAGGAAAUAAAGCGAGAAAAAGAGAUUGCGAGGCGAUACAACCGAGCGGAAUAUCGGUUUUGACAAACGUUCUUUUUUCCUCGUUUCCUUUACCAGCUCAAUUGUCUUUUGCACGUACCAAAGUAUAUCAUUGCCUCUGAAGAUAUUAAAGCUACUUUUUCCCCCCAAAACUAAUGCCUCCUCUUUUGCUAUCGUAACUUCGCGAAACGUUAUUCUUACUUGGAAUAAAACGACUUCGUUUUUCAUCGAACCCUGCAAAAGUGGAGCCGCUCCAUCACCGAGCUUCCUCCUCUCGAUCAACGACCUUCUGCCGUCAUCUCGUAAACUUGUCACACUCAGUCAAUCAACGACGAACGCACAUGUAUAAAUACGCACCAAGCUCUCGAGAGAUUCAACACUUUUAGUACUUAUAACGAAAUAACAGAUUAACGAUUUGUUUUAUAAUCGUUGGUCCGUCGUGGGGUUAAGAGACCGAUAAAAGGGAAGAAAUUAUGAAUCUGGCAUUUUCUCUGUUAGCGUACCGCUUCGAGUUUCUGAAAAACACGCAAACCGAAAAAUUAUGAUGAAUUUCACGUGAGGAGGAUAGCAAAAUGUUCGCCGGCGGUUCGUCCAAUUAUCUCGCUGGUCAAAUAUUUUAUUCCAUAGAAAUAUAUUUGAAAAUAAUCAUAAUUAUCAUCAAUAAUUGGUAAAUUAACGGAUACUAUUUGUACAGAAAUUGUUAAUAAUACGAAAAGAAGGAAAUAAGUGAAAAAUAUUGGGAUUCGGAGCCGUCAAAAUACUGUUGCAUCAGCAAUGAAUAAAAUAUUUUUUAAAUUGAAAGAUAAAAAUGAGAUUGGCCAUCAUGAUCGAUGGAAAAACGUGUUGGAAAUAACUCGGUGAUCUGUACAUUGAAUAAGGGGAAUUGGUAAUUAUUUUUGUCGUUACGAUUAUGGAGAGUACAGCGAGUGUAAAGUAUUCGGAGAAUAUUUGUCGACGAAACGAAGAAUUCGGUCGAUUUGUCUUCUAAUUAUAAAACUGUCGAUAUUUCCGGUUGGAAAUUCACGAAGGUAGGGAAUUGGUGUUAGACGAAGCAUUUGCAAAUCGAUUGAAAAAUGUGAUUUCUUCAUUUUUCGUAUUAGGUGGAAUGAAAUUUGAUGUUGAAUGGUGGAUUUGUGCGAGUCACGUCUUUGAGGAAGAGUCUUUUCUUAAAGUUUUUUAUUUCUCGCCUCGCUUACGCUCCCGUUCUCGGGCCAAUGCAUUCUCGCUACAAAGCUCAAUCUUUAUGGGGGCGAGGGGAGGGCUACGAUAAGCACUUUUAUAUCCGAGUACCGAGAUCCCAAAGUACGGGCCCGACCGUAAAAGCACAUGCGUCAUUCCAUCGGCUCCUUUUUGCUACGACACGCAGGUUAAGCUUUUAUUCGCGUUCUCGGUAACGUCAAGCGUCCUCGCGAAAAAUCUUUCUUCAGGAUCGAAAGAGAGAUCCACCCUCGCACGAAACUCCUGCGGAUUGACGGACUAAUCUCCCUUCCGUUCGAGUCCUCCUAUUAUGCACGCAUUACGUAAUACAGACAGUAAUAACAAAAGAUGAUAAAAGGAGGAUAGAAAAGAAAUAAAAAUAAAUGAGAAUCGGGAAAAGCUGCUGCUGCUGCUGCUGCUGCUUUGAAGAUUUACCAGGAACGCGUUACGCAACUAGUUCCGACUCAAAGUAUACAAAUAAGUUUUAACUGAGACUGUGCUCCAGUCACGUGACUAAGGCCAACGAGAUAGACCCACGUUUUCCCAUUUUCUCGUUAAACCCCCUCCCCCACUGGGAUCAUAAAGUUUCAUGAUGAAUUUUUUAUCCUCCAAUCAUAACACCGAGAAAUGAAUUCUUAGUUCAUUCUAAUGUACGAUAAAAAUGUUAUCAUCGUCGUAAGCAUCGUUUGCGAAAUAACCGUGUCAAAUUUGCUACCAAAUUCUAUCCAGUCUUAUGAUUUUCUCUUUUUUUAGGGGCCCACAUAAAGAUGGUACUUCCGCUUGAAGCUUCGCUCCAAUAAGCCGCGAGUAGGAGCUCCGGCCUAGCACUCCUCGACUCUUGUCGAAGCAAUUCUCAAGUAUUAUGCAACAGACUAUAAUACACAUGGAGAUGAAGUUGGUUACGAGGCAGUCAUUAGCAUGAAUCUUCGAUUUUACCAUUACGGGGAGGCGGCGGUGGCAAAGUACUCGGUAACAGCCGCGACGGACCGAGUAUACUCCCGAUGUGAGAAGUUCGUGCCUCCUCGGAUACGUCACGACUCCAAGAGAAAUCAUUAGCCAAGGGCUCGCUGUAUCCAUUCUUCUAUGCUCGGUCUUAUCGAAUUAGUUUUUCGAGCCAACUGUCUGGAACAAAUAAUUUUUUUUUUUACAUCAAGAACGUGCUGCAGAUAAUCGAGUUUUAUGGAUCGAUCUAAAAAAAAAAAAAAAAAGAGAGGAAUUAAAAUGACAACUUCCGCAGGACUAAUUCCGCGGUAAUUUCGAAGGCUUGGGAGCUGCUUCCCCGAACCACGUGAAAGAACGGUACGUGACUUUGACGCUGGCCAGGCACGUGCGAUGAAACAAACGAACAAGAAGAUAAUUGCCAGAGUUCUAUUUCGAGGCGACUCGGAAGACUCGAUAAUACAACUGGCACGUUUAGCGAACGCAGAUGCAUUCUGUCUCCAGUAUUUUCUCUUUUUUCUCACUCAAUCUCAAUGCAAAAUCAACAGUGAUCGAAGAGAGCUCUAUCAAAAUAAUUAUCGUUGCAAAGCAACCCUGAAACGAUUUAAUAAGCGAAACGAAAAGUGCGAGGCUUAUUAUGCUCGCUAUGAAAUAAGGGCUCAGGUAAUAAAGUAAAUACCCUUCAAAUUCGAGCUUAAAACGAAAUUGCUUGUCGAACAUUUACGAUCGACGGUUCUCUCCACGAACGUCAAGCUUUUUAUGCUGCUGCCAUUUAUUUUUCAUACUUCAAGAUGUCAUACCACUUUGGUGCUUAGAAAAACACUGCAAUAUUGAUCGUUUCAUGGGAACCUAGUGGAGUACGAAUAUCGUUUAGAGCGUGCUACGUACGUUCAGGUAAAAAAGUUGACCUCUCCGUUGAAAAUCGACAUAACAAAUGGUUUGUACCUGAAAAAAAUUCGAAACGAAAUGUCAACUCGUUGGUUCAGUUUUUAAAAAUUCUGCAUUUUAAACGAAACUAUGUUUUAAAUGAAAAUCGAAUAAGCUUUUAUAGCUUUUUUGCAUUUCCGAAUGAGCCUCACGGACCAAGAGGCGUUCAAUUUCGAAAAAAAAUUGGAGUUCCAGUUCGUUAUUUCUAUUCUUGAAAUUUUAUAAUUGUACAAUUCAAAUGAUUAUGUUAAAAAACAAUAAAACUAUGAAUCGACAAACGUUACGGGGGAUUGAAAAAUGCACGACCUAAUCGCAGGUAAUCGAUUUAGUAUAUUUUUCAUACUUUCAGUACCAGAAUUACAUCGAUAAAAAAAUAGAAACUUAUUGAAGCACGAUUCGAGAUCGUCGUUACUAAAUUGUACUGCAAUUAUCGUUAUAUAAUUGAAAAUCGAAUACUGGAAGUGUACUUUAUCGGUUCAUCAGAACGACCAAAUGAUGCGUAUUCAAGGGACAUAAAAAAACUGGAAUGACAAAGUUUCGAAUAUUUUGUAUCAUUUUGUGAAAACGACGAUAUAAGGAAUUUUCAAGUGUUCGGUUUUUCUAAUUAAAAAAUCGUACGUAGGAACAAUCCCACGAAAAUUUUAUCAAAUAUGAUUCCAAGUAGGCAUUUUUUAGCUUAAUAUUCCUGAAGAAUCGUAUUUCGGAUAAACUUUGGUUUUGCCUGUGCGAUAACAAUGUUAGUCUUCUUAUCUUAACCGAUAACUUAACGAAUAUUAAAUGUUCAAAAAAAAACAUGAAUUUUUUAUUUUUGGAUGGAGCAAACGUUUAGCGAGGAAACAAUGUUUUUCCCACGUCACGCUCGGGAAAUUCUCCCGAUUAGUCAGAGUCCGAGUUCUUGUUGCCUGUGGAAAAAAAUAAACAUAUUGCAGUUAGAA
rnacentral:misc_RNA from 1 species